GCAUCUAAAUCUUUCCCAUUUCUUGCUGCCUCAUGCUGGUAUGGGGGACAGCUGAGAUGCUCCAGUGACAGCAAAGCAAAUUCAUAUGGGUCAUUUCCAUUUGAAUUGGAGCCUAUCUCUACAACUCUGCCACAAUU